rnacentral:rRNA from 1 species
GUGGGGAAUAUUGCACAAUGGGCGAAAGCCUGAUGCAGCGACGCCGCGUGAGCGAAGAAGUAUUUCGGUAUGUAAAGCUCUAUCAGCAGGGAAGAUAAUGACGGUACCUGACUAAGAAGCACCGGCUAAAUACGUGCCAGCAGCCGCGGUAAUACGUAUGGUGCAAGCGUUAUCCGGAUUUACUGGGUGUAAAGGGAGCGCAGUCGGUGCGGCAAGUCUGAUGUGAAAGCCCGGGGCUCAACCCCGGUACUGCAUUGGAAACUGUCGUACUAGAGUGUCGGAGGGGUAAGCGGAAUUCCUAGUGUAGCGGUGAAAUGCGUAGAUAUUAGGAGGAACACCAGUGGCGAAGGCGGCUUACUGGACGAUAACUGACGCUGAGGCUCGAAAGCGUGGGGAGCAAACAGGAUUAGAAACCCCUGUAGUCC